AUGAGCAGCUGGGCCUUGGGAGCACAAAUGGGCCUUAAUGAGCCUGCCCAGCCUCCCCUGGGCCCAGUUCAGCUCAGCCAGGGGCUUUGGUGCUGUCCGUGUGCCCCAUCUCAGUUAAGUGCUGGCCAGGUCUUCUCAGAGACGUUCUACAGGCUCCUUGUUGUCAGUCUCAGGCUUUACCUGCCCUUUGUUUUACCUGUGGAAAGCAGAGUGGUUCUGGCUGGGCUCUCACCAGUGCGGUGUGCAACAGCACCUGUGAGGAACAACCUGGGCUCAGCUGGGCACACUUAUCCAAAUGAAAAAAAGGGCACGGAGGCCACCCUGAAGGAAAUGUGUGGAGAAAAUUGGACCAUGCACCCCACUGGGCUGAAGCCUGUGCCACUCUUGCAGAGCUAAGGUGGAGUUUGCUACAAAAGGAAAAGAGAAAAAGGAGGUGGAAGUCAGAGCAUGGGGGAAAAGGAACCAUGUGGAGGAGAGAGGAUGCAUGUGGGAGCAGCACCCGUGCCUGGAGGGGCAAGGAAAGCGGGAUGUGAGAGGCUUGCCUGACGUGACUCCGCAUAUCUGGAGGGAAAGAGGAGCGGCACCAAAGUGGAGAGGCCUGAGAUUGCUGCUGCAGGCUGUGCUUUGCUUUGCUUUGCUUUGCUUUGCUUUGCUUUGCUUUGCUUUGCUUUGCUUUGCUUUGCUUUGCAGGCACGGAGGUAAAGGCAAGCACAGGUUUCGCAUUUUAAAAUGGUGAAGAGGAACGUAAGGGCUUAAGAGACACCAUGAGACUCCUGUGCAAGGCUUGCAACCUCUUCCAUCAUCCACAGCUCACUGUAGACUUCUGCUCCAGACUGACCUAGCUCUGCUAGAGUGGUAAUCAGGUUGGAUUUUGUCCUACUUCUCUCAAUAAAAGGUUGUUUGGGAACCUCCCUGCUCUGACA
rnacentral:lncRNA from 1 species